GACGAACGCUGGUUGCGUGCUUAACACAUGCAAGUCGAACGGAAAGGCCCUGCUUUUGUGGGGUGCUCGAGUGGCGAACGGGUGAGUAACACGUGAGUAACCUGCCCUUGACUUUGGGAUAACUUCAGGAAACUGGGGCUAAUACCGGAUAGGAGCUCCUGCUGCAUGGUGGGGGUUGGAAAGUUUCGGCGGUUGGGGAUGGACUCGCGGCUUAUCAGCUUGUUGGUGGGGUAGUGGCUUACCAAGGCUUUGACGGGUAGCCGGCCUGAGAGGGUGACCGGCCACAUUGGGACUGAGAUACGGCCCAGACUCCUACGGGAGGCAGCAGUGGGGAAUAUUGCACAAUGGGCGGAAGCCUGAUGCAGCAACGCCGCGUGCGGGAUGACGGCCUUCGGGUUGUAAACCGCUUUCGCCUGUGACGAAGCGUGAGUGACGGUAAUGGGUAAAGAAGCACCGGCUAACUACGUGCCAGCAGCCGCGGUGAUACGUAGGGUGCGAGCGUUGUCCGGAUUUAUUGGGCGUAAAGGGCUCGUAGGUGGUUGAUCGCGUCGGAAGUGUAAUCUUGGGGCUUAACCCUGAGCGUGCUUUCGAUACGGGUUGACUUGAGGAAGGUAGGGGAGAAUGGAAUUCCUGGUGGAGCGGUGGAAUGCGCAGAUAUCAGGAGGAACACCAGUGGCGAAGGCGGUUCUCUGGGCCUUUCCUGACGCUGAGGAGCGAAGGCGUGGGGAGCGAACAGGCUUAGAUACCCUGGUAGUCCACGCUGUAAACGGUGGGUACUAGGUGUGGGGUCCAUUCCACGGGUUCCGUGCCGUAGCUAACGCUUUAAGUACCCCGCCUGGGGAGUACGGCCGCAAGGCUAAAACUCAAAGGAAUUGACGGGGCCCCGCACAAGCGGCGGAGCAUGCGGAUUAAUUCGAUGCAACGCGUAGAACCUUACCUGGGUUUGACAUGGAUCGGGAGCGCUCAGAGAUGGGUGUGCCUCUUUUGGGGUCGGUUCACAGGUGGUGCAUGGCUGUCGUCAGCUCGUGUCGUGAGAUGUUGGGUUAAGUCCCGCAACGAGCGCAACCCUUGUUCACUGUUGCCAGCACGUUAUGGUGGGGACUCAGUGGAGACCGCCGGGGUCAACUCGGAGGAAGGUGGGGAUGACGUCAAGUCAUCAUGCCCCUUAUGUCCAGGGCUUCACGCAUGCUACAAUGGCUGGUACAGAGAGUGGCGAGCCUGUGAGGGUGAGCGAAUCUCGGAAAGCCGGUCUCAGUUCGGAUUGGGGUCUGCAACUCGACCUCAUGAAGUCGGAGUCGCUAGUAAUCGCAGAUCAGCAACGCUGCGGUGAAUACGUUCCCGGGGCU
rnacentral:rRNA from 1 species